CCUACGGGAGGCAGCAGUGGGGAAUAUUGGACAAUGGGCGGAAGCCUGAUCCAGCAACGCCGCGUGAGGGAUGACGGCCUUCGGGUUGUAAACCUCUUUCAGUACCGACGAAGCGCAAGUGACGGUAGGUACAGAAGAAGCACCGGCCAACUACGUGCCAGCAGCCGCGGUAAUACGUAGGGUGCGAGCGUUGUCCGGAAUUAUUGGGCGUAAAGGGCUCGUAGGCGGUUUGUCGCGUCGGGAGUGAAAACGCCGUGCUUAACACGGCGCUUGCUUUCGAUACGGGCAGACUAGAGGUAUGCAGGGGAGAACGGAAUUCCUGGUGUAGCGGUGAAAUGCGCAGAUAUCAGGAGGAACACCGGUGGCGAAGGCGGUUCUCUGGGCAUUACCUGACGCUGAGGAGCGAAAGUGUGGGGAGCGAACAGGAUUAGAUACCCUGGUAGUCCACACCGUAAACGUUGGGCGCUAGGUGUGGGGUCCAUUCCACGGAUUCCGUGCCGCAGCUAACGCAUUAAGCGCCCGCCUGGGGAGACGCGCGAGACGAACACAAGAAGUAGACGCGUGAGAGUUGCGAGACGACGACGAGGAGAGG
rnacentral:rRNA from 1 species